rnacentral:rRNA from 1 species
UACAGAGGUCUCAAGCGUUGUUCGGAUUCAUUGGGCGUAAAGGGUGCGUAGGCGGCGGAGUAAGUUGGGUGUGAAAUCCCGGGGCUCAACCUCGGAAUGGCAUUCAAUACUGCUUCGCUAGAGUACUGGAGAGGAGGCUGGAAUUUACGGUGUAGCAGUGAAAUGCGUAGAUAUCGUAAGGAAGGCCGGUGGCGAAAGCGAGCCUCUGGACAGUUACUGACGCUGAUGCACGAAGGCCAGGGGAGCAAACGGG